GUCCAUCACUGGCUCCUCUAAGAGAGUUCACAUUUGUUACUGCCCUUCCAACAUGAUUCUCAAAGCAAAUAGAGCUGAUUGAUGUACAAGAAGUCUUCUGACCUUUUUUCCUGAACCUUGCAGAACUGCCUUUCUUUGAGCUGGAAAAUUGCCUUUUACUUGGGCACACCAGGCUCUUCUGUCCGCGGGAGUCUCUCCCAUGGGAGAAUCCUGAAAUGGGUUGCCACUUCCUCCUCCGGGGAUCUUUCCGACCCAGGGACUGAACCCACAUCUCUUAAGUCCCCUGCAAUGGCAAGUGGAUUCUUUACCACCAGCGUCACCUGGUAAGUUGCGUGCAUUAUAAUUUCC
ensembl:lncRNA